rnacentral:rRNA from 1 species
UACGGAGGGUGCAAGCGUUAUCCGGAUUCACUGGGUUUAAAGGGUGCGUAGGCGGCUUAAUAAGUCAUUGGUGAAAGCUCGCAGCUCAACUGCGAAACUGCCAUUGAAACUGUUUAGCUUGAAUGUGGUUGAAGUGGGCGGAAUACAACAUGUAGCGGUGAAAUGCUUAGAUAUGUUUUAGAACACCGAUUGCGAAGGCAGCUCAUUAAGCCAAUAUUGACGCUGAGGCACGAAAGCGUGGGUAGCAAACAGG